UCCUACGGGAGGCAGCAGUAGGGAAUCUUCCGCAAUGGACGAAAGUCUGACGGAGCAACGCCGCGUGAGUGAUGAAGGCUUUCGGGUCGUAAAACUCUGUUGUUAGGGAAGAACAAGUGCUAGUUGAAUAAGCUGGCACCUUGACGGUGCCUAACCAGAAAGCCACGGCUAACUACGUGCCAGCAGCCGCGGUAAUACGUAGGUGGCAAGCGUUAUCCGGAAUUAUUGGGCGUAAAGCGCGCGCAGGUGGUUUCUUAAGUCUGAUGUGAAAGCCCACGGCUCAACCGUGGAGGGUCAUUGGAAACUGGGAGACUUGAGUGCAGAAGAGGAAAGUGGAAUUCCAUGUGUAGCGGUGAAAUGCGUAGAGAUAUGGAGGAACACCAGUGGCGAAGGCGACUUUCUGGUCUGUAACUGACACUGAGGCGCGAAAGCGUGGGGAGCAAACAGGAUUAGAUACCCUGGUAGUCCACGCCGUAAACGAUGAGUGCUAAGUGUUAGAGGGUUUCCGCCCUUUAGUGCUGAAGUUAACGCAUUAAGCACUCCGCCUGGGGAGUACGGCCGCAAGGCUGAAACUCAAAGGAAUU
rnacentral:rRNA from 1 species